rnacentral:rRNA from 1 species
ACAGUGGACGCGAGCAUCUUUGUGGCUAAGUUAUAAAGAGCACACGGUGGAUGCCUAGGCACCAAGAGCCGAUGAAGGACGUAGGAGGCUGCGAUAAGCCUCGGGGAGCUGUCAACCGAGCUGUGAUCCGAGGAUUUCCGAAUGGGGAAACCCGGCAGGAGUCAUGUCCUGUCACCCGCACCUGAACACAUAGGGUGCGUGGAGGGAACGUGGGGAAGUGAAACAUCUCAGUACCCACAGGAAGAGAAAGCAACCGCGAUUCCGUGAGUAGUGGCGAGCGAAAGCGGAAGAGGCUAAACCGAUUGCGUGUGAUAGCCGGCAGGCGUUGCGCAUUCGGGGUCGUGGGACCAUUGAGGUCGGGCUGCCGCCCGUCCAGGGAGUAAGAAAAACUCGUGUUAGGCGAAUGGCAUUGGAAAAACCAGGCGCAGAGGGUGACACCCCCGUAGCCGAAAACUCGAGUUCUCCCCAGUGGUAUCCCAAGUAGCAGCGAGCCCGUGAAAUUCGCUGUGAAUCCGGCGGGACCACCCGCUAAGCCUAAAUACUACUUGGUGACCGAUAGCGGACUAGUACCGUGAGGGAAAGGUGAAAAGUACCCCGGGAGGGGAGUGAAAUAGUACCUGAAACCGUGUGCUUACAAUCCGUCGGAGCGGCCCUUGCGGCUGUGACGGCGUGCCUUUUGAAGAAUGAGCCUGCGAGUUAGUGGUAUGUGGCAAGGUUAACCCGUGUGGGGAAGCCGUAGCGAAAGCGAGUCCGAACAGGGCGUUUGAGUCGCAUGCUCUAGACCCGAAGCGAAGUGAUCUACCCAUGGCCAGGAUGAAGCGACGGUAAGACGUCGUGGAGGUCCGAACCCACCAGGGUUGAAAACCUGGGGGAUGAGCUGUGGGUAGGGGUGAAAGGCCAAUCAAACUUCGUGAUAGCUGGUUCUCCCCGAAAUGCAUAUAGGUGCAGCGUCGCGUGUUUCUUACCGGAGGUAGAGCACUGGAUGGUCUAGGGGGCCCACAAGCUUACCGAAAUCAACCAAACUCCGAAUGCCGGUAAGUGAGAGCGCGGCAGUGAGACUGUGGGGGCUAAGCUUCAUAGUCGAGAGGGAAACAGCCCAGAUCGCCGGUUAAGGUCCCUAAGCGUGUGCUAAGUGGGAAAGGAUGUGGAGUCGCACAGACAACCAGGAGGUUGGCUUAGAAGCAGCCACCCUUUAAAGAGUGCGUAAUAGCUCACUGGUCAAGUGAUUCCGCGCCGACAAUGUAGCGGGGCUCAAGCACACCACCGAAACCGCGGCAUUCACACAUCGAUCGGCCCCUUUGGGGUCCAGUCGUGUGGAUGGGUAGGGGAGCGUCGUGUGGCGAGUGAAGCGGCGGGGUAACCCAGCCGUGGACGCCACACGAGUGAGAAUGCAGGCAUGAGUAGCGAAUGGGGAGUGAGAACCUCCCCCACCGAUUGACCAAGGGUUCCUGGGCCAGGCUAAUCCGCCCAGGGUGAGUCGGGACCUAAGGCGAGGCCGACAGGCGUAGUCGAUGGACAACGGGUUGAUAUUCCCGUACCCGCGAAAGAGCGCCCAUG